UCGGGAAUUUUGGGCAAUGGGCGAAAGCCUGACCCAGCAACGCCGCGUGAAGGAUGAAGUAUUUCGGUAUGUAAACUUCGAAAGAAUGGGAAGAAUAAAUGACGGUACCAUUUAUAAGGUCCGGCUAACUACGUGCCAGCAGCCGCGGUAAUACGUAGGGACCAAGCGUUGUUCGGAUUUACUGGGCGUAAAGGGCGCGUAGGCGGCUUAACAAGUCACUUGUGAAAUCUCCGGGCUUAACUCGGAACGGCCAAGUGAAACUGUUAAGCUAGAGUGCAGAAGGGGCAAUCGGAAUUCUUGGUGUAGCGGUGAAAUGCGUAGAUAUCAAGAGGAACACCUGAGGUGAAGACGGGUUGCUGGGCUGACACUGACGCUGAGGCGCGAAAGCCAGGGGGAGCAAACGGGAUUAGAUACCCGUGUAGUCCCUGAGCGGGCUGGCAAGGCGCAU
rnacentral:rRNA from 1 species